CUGCUUUCCCCCCUCGCCCUCUGCAGCUGUACCCAUCGCCUAUCACUGGCUCACAAAUUAACCCCAAACUUGGCAAGUUAAAGCAGCCCCCUCUAAUAUCCCUCCAGCCGCACCCCUCCCUGACAUCGCCCUCCACUGCUGGGCUCACCCUGGUCUCCACAUCUCUGCCUGUUAAGUCACCAGCCCCGGGACACCAGCCCUUGGCCCCGUGAAGGUUUAUGGCACCCGUGAUCCUCCUCUGGCCUUACACAAAGGCCUGUGGAGCCCCGGGGACGUUUGCCAGAGGACUGGAAGAUGCAGGCCGGCUGAGGUGCAGCCGCUGACAAAAUCACCCCGCCAGUAGGGCUCAGCCAGCAGACGGGGGAGGCGGAGCCCGCACAUGUUUGUCUGCCCGUCUGCCCUCCGAGGCGCCCAGAGCACAGCCAGGACACGGGCUGCCGGAACAAAGGUGGAAGGCCACAGGGCACGGGGAGGGGAAGGCCAUAUGACGACAGGGCAGAGCGGCCCUUGGAGAUGCUGGCCUGGAUGACUGGAGUGAUGCGGCCACAAGCCAAGGAUUGCAGCAGCCACCAGACACUGGAGGUGGCAGGGGUGGCUCCUCCCGCAGAGCGUCAGGACGGAGCGGUGCCCUGCAGCACCUUGGCUCAGCCCGGGGAAACCCCUCUCAGGCCUCGGCCUCCAGAACCCAGAACGAACUUCUGUGAUGUUCAGCCGCCCGGCACAGUGGCCACAGGAAACAAAAAGUCACUCUCCACUCAUCACGGCGGGUGAAGCUGGGGUGCCUUAUGGGAAAGGUGGAGGGGGCAUAUCUGGUUUGGUUUUGUGGGACAUGCUCACGUUGUGCAAGGUCACCUCCAGCUGCUGCUGACUCAUGUGGGGGAACAGCUUCCAGAAACUUCCAGGAAUGCUGCAGAGUGGUAGGCGUGGAUAUGGGCCCUGCUGUCCCUGCUGGGGGCAUGUGUGGGCACCACAGGCGAAAUCAGCCAAAGACAAGACUAAACUCUCUUGGUGUCCUCUUCUCUCAAGCAAAACACUCCAUAUGUGCUUUUGCAGUGGUUUUUAUGGCUCACACCUGUAAUCCCAGAAUUUUGGGAGGCUGAUGCAGGAAGAUCAUUUGAGCCCAGGAGUUCAAAACCAGCCUGGC
rnacentral:lncRNA from 10 species